rnacentral:rRNA from 1 species
AUCUGGGCGGCGGAAUUCAGGAUGGCUGGCGGGUUUCGCGCUCGUCCGGCCGUUUGAUAUUUCCGUCGCCGUGUCAGACGUCGCGACCUGUUUGUCGUCGGUCCUUGCUCGGAGGAAUUGCGAUCGAGUUCGUUGCGGACGCGUUUCGGCGUGUUCCGCGGCGAAGACGCGGCUCUCUGGCUGACGACGGACAGUAGGCAACGGUGUCCGACGCUGUGUCUCGCACUCGGUGUCGGUGCCGGUCAGCGACGAUUUCUUCGGGCCUCUUUCCGACCCGUCUUGAAACACGGACCAAGGAGUCUAACAUGUGCGCGAGUCGCGGGGUUUCGAGCGUGCCAYGGUGCGCUCGUUACUUCCGAAACCCGUACGUUGAAGGCGUAAUGAAAGUGAACAGGGAAGAUGGCGUUCCGAGUCCACGUACCGUGAUCGAGUAUCGCGGCCGGACGCCCGCACUCCCGGGGCGUCUCAAUGGUUCGUCGCGGAUGCGGACGGUCGUCUUUCGGGYUGGCCGUCGGUCUGCGCCGGUUCGA